rnacentral:rRNA from 1 species
GAUGAACGCUAGCGGCAGGCCUAAUACAUGCAAGUCGAACGGUGUCUUCGGACAUAGUGGCGCACGGGUGCGUAACACGUAUGCAACCUACCUUACACUGGGGGAUAGCCUUUCGAAAGGGAGAUUAAUACCGCAUAAGACAGUAGCUGGGCAUCCAGCAGCUGUUAAAGAUUUAUCGAUGUAAGCUGGUCAUGCGUCCAAUUAGCUAGUUGGUGAGGUAACGGCUCACCAAGGCAAUGAUUGGUAGGGGACCUGAGAGGUCAAUCCCCCACACGAGCACUUAGAUACGUGCCAGACUCCUAGGAGAGACAGCAGUAGGUAAUAUUGUGCAAUGGACGCAAUUCUGACAGAUCCAUGCCGCGUGCGGAAGGAAGGCGUUAUGAGUUGUAAACUGCUUUUAUACAGGAAGAAACGACUCUUGCGAGAGGCAUUGACUGUACUGUAUGAAUAAGCACCGGCUAACUCCGUGCGAGCAGCCGCCGUAACAC